CACUCCUGCGGGAGGCAGCAGUGGGGAAUAUUGGACAAUGGGCGCAAGCCUGAUCCAGCCAUGCCGCGUGAGUGAUGAAGGCCCUAGGGUUGUAAAGCUCUUUUGUGCGGGAAGAUAAUGACGGUACCGCAAGAAUAAGCCCCGGCUAACUUCGUGCCAGCAGCCGCGGUAAUACGAAGGGGGCUAGCGUUGCUCGGAAUCACUGGGCGUAAAGGGUGCGUAGGCGGGUCUUUAAGUCAGGGGUGAAAUCCUGGAGCUCAACUCCAGAACUGCCUUUGAUACUGAAGAUCUUGAGUUCGGGAGAGGUGAGUGGAACUGCGAGUGUAGAGGUGAAAUUCGUAGAUAUUCGCAAGAACACCAGUGGCGAAGGCGGCUCACUGGCCCGAUACUGACGCUGAGGCACGAAAGCGUGGGGAGCAAACAGGAUUAGAUACCCGUGUAGUCCCA
rnacentral:rRNA from 1 species